CAGGCCUAACACAUGCAAGUCGAACGGGCGUAGCAAUACGUCAGUGGCAGACGGGUGAGUAACACGUGGGAACAUACCCUUCGGUUCGGAACAACGCCGGGAAACUGGCGCUAAUACCGGAUACGCCCUUUUGGGGAAAGGCUUGCCGCCGAAGGAGUGGCCCGCGUUCGAUUAGCUUGAUGGCGGGGUAACGGCCCACCAUGGCGACGAUCGAUAGCUGGUCUGAGAGGAUGGCCAGCCACAUUGGGACUGAGACACGGCCCAAACUCCUACGGGAGGCAGCAGUGGGAAUAUUGGACAAUGGGCGCAAGCCUGAUCCAGCCAUGCCGCGUGAGUGAUGACGGCCUUAGGGUUGUAAAGCUCUUUCGCACGCGACGAUAAUGACGGUAGCGUGAGAAGAAGCCCCGGCUAACUUCGUGCCAGCAGCCGCGGUAAU
rnacentral:rRNA from 1 species